rnacentral:rRNA from 1 species
CCUACGGGAGGCAGCAGUGAGGAAUAUUGGUCAAUGGACGAGAGUCUGAACCAGCCAAGUAGCGUGAAGGAUGACUGCCCUAUGGGUUGUAAACUUCUUUUAUAUGGGAAUAAAAUGUUCCACGUGUGGGAUUUUGUAUGUACCCUAUGAAUAAGGAUCGGCUAACUCCGUGCCAGCAGCCGCGGUAAUCCGGCGGAUCCGAGCGUUAUCCGGAUUUUUUGGGGUUAAAGGGAGCGUAGGUGGAUUGUUAAGUAAAUUGUGAAAGUUUGCGGCUCAACCAUAAAAUUGCAGUUGAAACUGGCAGUCUUGAGUACAGGAGAGGUGGGCGGAAUGCGUGGUGUAGCGGUGAAAUGCUUAGAUAUCACGAAGAACGCCGAUUGCGAAGGCAGCUUACUGGACUGCAAUUGACACUGAGGCUCGAAAGUGUGGGUAUCAAACAGGAUUAGAUACCCUGGUAGUC